rnacentral:rRNA from 1 species
GGACCUGACUGCUAUCGGAUUGAUACUAAGCCAUGUGAGUCAUUGUAGUAAUACAAGGCAGACGGCUCAGUAACACGUAGCCAAUCUAACCUAUGGACGGGGAUAACCUCGGGAAACUGAGGAUAAACCCCGAUAGAUCAUUAUGCCUGGAAAGGUUUAUGGUCCAAAUGAUUCGUCGCCAUAGGAUGAGACUGCGGCCUAUCAGCUUGUUGGUGAGGUAAUGGCCCACCAAGGCUAUUACAGGUACGGGCUCUGAGAGGAGAAGCCCGGAGAUGGGUACUGAGACACGGACCCAGGCCCUAUGGGGCGCAGCAGGCGAGAAACCUUUGCAAUGUGCGCAAGCACGACAAGGUUAAUCCGAGUGUUUCCUGCUAAAGGAAUCUUUUGUUAGUCCUAAAAACACUAGUGAAUAAGGGGUGGGCAAGUUCUGGUGUCAGCCGCCGCGGUAAAACCAGCACCUCAAGUGGUCAGGAGGAUUAUUGGGCCU